rnacentral:rRNA from 1 species
GACGAACGCUGGCGGCGUGCUUAACACAUGCAAGUCGAACGGAAAGGCCCUGCUUUUGUGGGGUGCUCGAGUGGCGAACGGGUGAGUAACACGUGAGUAACCUGCCCUUGACUUUGGGAUAACUUCAGGAAACUGGGGCUAAUACCGGAUAGGAGCUCCUGCUGCAUGGUGGGGGUUGGAAAGUUUCGGCGGUUGGGGAUGGACUCGCGGCUUAUCAGCUUGUUGGUGGGGUAGUGGCUUACCAAGGCUUUGACGGGUAGCCGGCCUGAGAGGGUGACCGGCGACAUUGGGACUGAGAUACGGCACAGACUCCUACGGGAGGCAGCAGUGGGGAAUAUUGCACAAGGGGCGGAAGCCUGAUGCAGCAACGCCGCGUGCGGGAUGACGGCCUUCGGGUUGUAAACCGAUUUCGCCUGUGACGAAGCGUGAGUGAAGGUAAUGGGUAAAGAAGCACCGGCUAACUACGUG